rnacentral:rRNA from 1 species
UACGUAGGGGGCAAGCGUUGUCCGGAAUUAUUGGGCGUAAAGAGCUCGUAGGCGGUUUGUUGCGUCUAUCGUGAAAACCUGCAGCUUAACUGUGGGCUUGCGGUGGAUACGGGCAGACUUGAGUUCGGUAGGGGAGACUGGAAUUCCUGGUGUAGCGGUGAAAUGCGCAGAUAUCAGGAGGAACACCUGUGGUGUAGACAGCUUACUGGACCACGACUGACGCUGAGACACGAAAGCGUGGGUAGCAAACAGG